ensembl:misc_RNA Metazoa_SRP Metazoan signal recognition particle RNA
GCUGGGCAUGGUGGUGCACACCUGUAGUUCCAGCUACUUGGGAGGCUGAGAUGAGAGGAUUGCUUGAGCCCAGGAGUUCAAGGCUGCAGUGAGCUGUGUUGGCACCACUGCACUCCAGCCUGGGCAACAGAGCAAGACCCUGUCUCAA